rnacentral:rRNA from 1 species
UGAGUAACCUGCCCCAGACUCUGGGAUAACUUCGGGAAACCGGAGCUAAUACCGGAUACGACACGCGAAGGCAUCUUCUGCGUGUAGAAAGAUUUAUCGGUCAGGGAUGGGCUCGCGGCCUAUCAGCUUGUUGGUGGGGUAAUGGCCCACCAAGGCGACGACGGGUAGCCGGCCUGAGAGGGUGUCCGGCCACACUGGGACUGAGAUACGGCCCAGACCUCCGUACGGGGAGGCA